CCCUUUUACCCAUGGGUGAUGUCACU
rnacentral:piRNA from 1 species